rnacentral:misc_RNA from 1 species
GAUGAAGAACGCAGCGAAAUGCGAUAAGUAAUGUGAAUUGCAGAAUUCAGUGAAUCAUCGAAUCUUUGAACGCACAUUGCGCCCCUUGGUAUUCCGAGGGGCAUGCCUGUUCGAGCGUCAUUAUAACCCCUCAAGCUCAGCUUGGUGUUGGGGCCUGCUGCACUGGCAGCCCUUAAAAUCAGUGGCGGCGCCAUCUGGCUCUAAGCGUAGUAAUUCUUCUCGCUAUGGAGUCCUGGUGGAUGCUUGCCAUCAACCCCCAAUUUUUCUAUGGUUGACCUCGGAUCAGGUAGGGAUCCCCGCUGAACUUAAGCAUAUCAAUAAGCGGAGGA